UUUUUUUGCUAUUGAGUUCUAUGAGUUCUUUAUAUAUUUUUGAUAUUAACCCCUUAUCAGAUAUAUGAUUUGCAAGUAUUUUCUCCUAUUCUAUAGGUUGCCUUUUCAAUUUAUUGAUUGUUUUCUUUGCUGUUCAGAAGCUCUUUAGUUUAAAGCUCUUUAAUAGUCCCACUUGUUUGUUUUAGCUCAUUCUCUUUUAGAGAGAUCAAGAGGAGAUGAUAUUUGAACUGAGCCUUAAAGAAUGCACUUAUUGGGUUCUGUUGGAAAGAACAGGGGGAGAUGGACCUGAAAGACUGUACGGAAAGGCCUCAAAGCCAUGCUUAGUUUUGUGGAUGUUAUCUUACUUACAUUACAUAGCAACUGAAGAGUUUUUAAGUACAGAAGUGACAGGAUCAGAUUUUUAUUUAGUAAAAAUAACUCUACUGAGAAUACGGAUGGUGGAUUGUUUGAUACACGUAAGGAUUCAGGACAUUUGAAAAAAAGAGGGGAGAUAAUGAGGUUUCAAACUAAGGUGUUGGCAGUGGGAUUGAAAGGAAGAGUCAUUUAACUUGACAGUGUGUUGCACGUGGAGGCUGAGGGAAGGGGAAGAACAGGAGGCAAUAGGUUAGAGUCUUGACAAGCAGCUGGUAUAGGCAGACAGGUUAGGGAGGGGCGCCCUCAUUAAAGUAGGGUCUGACAGGUAAGCAGAACUCAAUGAUGGAGAAGCCAGGAAUAGGAGAUUUAGAUGGGCAGGUGAUGGGGAGUUGGUAUCAACAAUAUCAGUUAGCAGGUAGCAGGACCACAGGGCUCAUCUUUCAGUUCAGGAUUUUAAUUUUGAAAGUAAGGAAGGCGGAAAAACAAAGAAGAGUUCCUAACGUGAAACGUUCAAGGAGAAGGAACCAGGAAGAGACCUUAUUAUCAUAUCUGAGAGGAAUCAAAGCCAGAUUAACAGCACAGGUGACCUGAUGCUGAUUCCUGAGCUUUGGGGAAUUUCCAUCCUUACAUUCCUCCUGCUGAAGAGCUUGUUCAGGAUACCUCAUCCUUCGUUAAACCAGAACAGUAAUAUUGUCCCUGAUUUUGUUUCUGAAGGGAAUGCCUCUAAAGUUUCUUCACUAGUUAUGAAGUAUACUGUAAGUUUUUGAUAUAUAACUUUUACCAAGUUAAUAAGCUUCCCAU
rnacentral:lncRNA from 1 species